UCCUUGCCAAAACUCUAUCUCUUAUCUCUUACAUCCUACUCUCUGUUUAUCCUCUCUUUUGACUCCAACAGUUACUCUCUCUCUCUCUCUCUGAGCUAUCUUCUUGCCGGUGCAACAAGAACAAGUCACUAAGUGGGUCACAAGAACAUAUUUUUCUCCUCCUCUGGACCUGCUUCUGGAAACUGUACGUGCGACUUUGAAGGUUGUCGCUGACUGGCCAAGUUUUAAUUCCAAUAAGCUGCACUUUAUUGUCGGCAUUAAAAUGAAGAAGAACCUGAACCGAGCCAAGAAUGGAAAAAAAAUAAAGUGUUGCAGUGAUUGCGAAAAGAGCACGCAGGGCAUGUUGACCAAAAAAGUAUGCUCUGCGGUUUU
rnacentral:sRNA from 1 species